rnacentral:siRNA from 1 species
UGCAACCGUUCGUUGGUACCCGC